AGAGCAAAGUAAAUCAGGGUAGUCCAAGGGUCCCAAGUCAGCUGGCCUCCCUCUCUUGCUCUGGAUCCCGCUCUUGCUCUUCUCUUCUCCUCCCUCCUCUCUUCCACCAUAGCCGAAGCUUCAGCCAUUGCCGAAGACCACCAGCCCCGUCGGCGUCGGGGCCACCGUUCUCUCAGUGUUGACAUCUUUCUUCAUAAUCUCUCACUCUCUCGAUGUCAAGAACUAGUUGCUUCCAUUCUAAUAGCUCAGGGGGAGAGGGUUAAUGAAGUAGGAUUCUUUCAGAACAUGUUUUCAUGUGUUUCUGGCAGCAGUUCACAGAUUUUUUUUUUCUUCUUGUGAUUCUUGGUUUUGGCAUUCAUCAUCUCAGUUGUCCAAUGCACAAGGUAAAAUUUUCUGGAUUGUUUAUUUCAUAUUGUGAUUGUUGGCAUAAGGAGACUGUAACUACUGUGGUAAAUUGUUUUUUUUUUACUGUUAUCUUAAGAGCAAAUGUUGUAAUUAAAGUGCAAAUAUUUCUGGUUAUCAUUGAUGUAAGGUGGAUAUAAUUACAUUUUAAAUUAUGGGUAGAUUUAUAGACAAUUAUAGUUGACAAAACCCAAAACUCAUUAUUGACAUUGAACAAUUUACUAGAAAUGAAAUUUGUUAAAUGCUAGACUCAUAUUUGCUUGAUUGUGUGGUUGAUGUUGCAUUUGGCCCCAAAACUCAAAAAUUUCAGUAUCUAUGUAACAGAAUUUACGUUCCUUUUUGUAGCUGUAUUAGACAAUCUUUCAGUUUGGCAGUGAUGAUUUUUGUUUUAUUGAAAUUCUCUACAACUGCAUCCAUUUGUUGAAAUCAUUUUAUAAUGAAAUUUAGUGAGCCAAGUAUUGUACAGUUGAUGUCUAAUCGAUUGCAUCCCUUUUAGGAAGUAACUCCGUGUAUGUUGGAAAUGUGAUUUAGAAGAACUUAGAGUGGAAUAUAUUAGAUUCAAUAUCUUUGUAGUUGCUUGAUGCAAAUCAAAAUACAGAUGAUAUCAUAUGUUUAGACAUUUUAUAAGAUGUAACAAUCAGUUUGUGUAGUUGUUUCGGAUGGAUAAUCUCUAUCAUUUUAGCCUGGCUUUAGAUGAAUAGAUAUACAUGCAAGGAUUUUGAAUUUAUGGUUGUAUGUUUCAGAUGCCCCGUGGUCUUUUUAAUUAAUGCUUAUUUUUGUAAAAUCUCAUUUAUCUAAAGCAGCAAUAAGAUCUGUUCGAGUUGGCCUGGAAAUCAACCUGGUUGGUCACUAGGAGCCUCCACAAUGGCAUGAAUUGUUACUUAGACAUUAACAAUUCUUGUCAAGUUAUCAAAUCCAAAAUCUAUGAUUGUUUUUUUGACAUUAUCAAUUCUAGUCAAAUUGGGUAUGUUAGCUACCCUCAGUUCAUUUUUCUCCUUCCAACAGGCUGGCUAUUUUAUCAGAGUCGUUCCCUCCUGGCUAGGUUUGAAGAGCCUUUGAGGCUCUCCAAAGAGUACAUUGAACCUUCCUUCUUGUGAAAUCCAGCUGCAUAAAAAAGCAAUUCCCUUCCUCAAGAUCUCUGCAGCCCAAGCCAUUUCAGAAGAGCACCUCCCUCCUUCAGAUCCCUCCAUCAUCUCUCCCCGAUCAAGGAAUUCUGAUUGAAGCCCGAUGGAUAAAUCGACUGAUCCUCCAAAGCGCCCGAUCACUUCAUUCAUUUUCUUUUGGUAUUUCGUUAAUAUCUAUUUGUAUGUAGUUAUAUAUUUAUUUAUUUUAUUUUAUUUUGCAUGCACAUUCGACGUUAUAUUUUUAGAUUUACAUGCCCUUCAACCAUGGGGAAAACCACUGGUUGUGCUUGAACAUAAACAUGGAAAAACGUGUUGCCUAUCUAUUCGACUCCAGCAGAUGUAUUGACACCGAUGAGGAUCGAAAAAAUAAAGCCAGAUUAUUGCUACAAUCAUUGCAUAAGCUGCUUCAAUAUGCGCACGGAGAAGAUUAUGUUCAAGACGUUAGUUCGUUUGCAUUUCAAUGGUUGGAAGACAUGCCACGCCAACACAAUAGCUAUGAUUGUGGUCUUUUCGUCAUCAAAUAUAUGCAAGGGAAACCUUUGCCUUCGGGUGUAAUCAAGUUUGACUAUUUGCAUAGGGCUCUCUUGUUACUUGAUCUUGUGAUAUACAAGCAUAAUUCAGCUGAUAUUGUUGCUAAUAUCGCGCAAUAUACAUCUGGUGACGCUCUAUUCUUUUUUAUUUUUCAUAAGUUCGUACAAUCAAUGACGUUAUCGCAUUUCUUAAACUAGUGAACUUUGAGUUUAUAACUCAACCUUUGUUAUAAAAUUAUAUUCUCAAGUGU